rnacentral:rRNA from 1 species
GACGAACGCUGGCGGCGUGCUUAACACAUGCAAGUCGAACGGAAAGGCCCUGCUUUUGUGGGGUGCUCGAGUGGCGAACGGGUGAGUAACACGUGAGUAACCUGCCCUUGACUUUGGGAUAACUUCAGGAGACUGGGGCUAAUACCGGAUAGGAGCUCCUGCUGCAUGGUGGGGGUUGGAAAGUUUCGGCGGUUGGGGAUGGACUCGCGGCUUAUCAGCUUGUUGGUGGGGUAGUGGCUUACCAAGGCUUUGACGGGUAGCCGGCCUGAGAGGGUGACCGGCCACAUUGGGAAUGAGAUACGGCCCAGACUCCUACGGGAGGCAGCAGUGGGGAAUAUUGCACAAUGGGCGGAAGACUGAUGCAGCAACGCCGCGUGCGGGAUGACGGCCUUCGGGUUGUAAACCGCUUUCGCCUGUGACGAAGCGUGAGUGACGGUAAUGGGUAAAGAAGCACCGGCUAACUACGUG